UACGGAGGGGGCUAGCGUUGUUCGGAAUUACUGGGCGUAAAGCGCACGUAGGCGGCUUUGUAAGUUAGAGGUGAAAGCCCAGGGCUCAACCCUGGAAUUGCCUUUAAGACUGCAUCGCUAGAAUUGUGGAGAGGUAAGUGGAAUUCCGAGUGUAGAGGUGAAAUUCGUAGAUAUUCGGAAGAACACCAGUGGCGAGGGCGACUCGCUGGACAGGUAUUGACGCUGAGGUGCGAAAGCGUGGGGAGCAAACAGG
rnacentral:rRNA from 1 species